UCCUCCGUGGCGCAAUUGGCUAGCGCGUUCGACUGUUAUUCUACAUUCCAUAGGUACAUCGAGAGGUUGACAGUUCAAGCCUGUCCGGGGGAG